GAUGAACGCUGGCGGCGUGCUUAACACAUGCAAGUAGAACGAUGAAGCCCAGCUUGCUGGGUGGAUUAGUGGCGAACGGGUGAGUAACACGUGAGUAACCUGCCCUUGACUCUGGGAUAAGCGCUGGAAACGGCGUCUAAUACCGGAUACGAGCUUCCACCGCAUGGUGAGUUGCUGGAAAGAAUUUCGGUCAAGGAUGGACUCGCGGCCUAUCAGGUAGUUGGUGAGGUAACGGCUCACCAAGCCGACGACGGGUAGCCGGCCUGAGAGGGUGACCGGCCACACUGGGACUGAGACACGGCCCAGACUCCUACGGGAGGCAGCAGUGGGGAAUAUUGCACAAUGGGCGCAAGCCUGAUGCAGCAACGCCGCGUGAGGGACGAAGGCCUUCGGGUCGUAAACCUCUUUUAGCAGGGAAGAAGCGAAAGUGACGGUACCUGCAGAAAAAGCACCGGCUAACUACGUG
rnacentral:rRNA from 1 species